rnacentral:rRNA from 1 species
UACGGGGGAUGCAAGCGUUAUCCGGAAUUAUUGGGCGUAAAGGGUCCUGAGGUGGCUAGCCAAGUCUAUUGUGAAAUAUCGAGGCUUAACCCUGAACAUGCGGUGGAAACUAGAAAGCUUGAGUACAGUAGGGGCGGAGGGAAUUUCCGGUGGAGCGGUGAAAUGCAUAGAUAUCGGGAAGAACACCAACGGCGAAAGCACUCCGCUGGGCUGAUACUGACACUGACAGACGAAAGCUAGGGUAGCGAAAGGG